UACAGAGGUGGCAAGCGUUGUUCGGAAUUACUGGGCGUAAAGGGCGCGUAGGCGGUCAGGGCAGUCCCGUGUGAAAUCCCUCGGCUCAACUGAGGAACUGCACGGGAAACUGCCUGGCUUGAGUUCGGGAGAGGGAAGCGGAAUUCCGGGUGUAGCGGUGAAAUGCGUAGAUAUGCGGAGGAACACCGAUGGCGAAGGCAGUCCCCUGGGCCUGUACUGACGCUCAUGCACGAAAGCGUGGGGAGCAAACAGG
rnacentral:rRNA from 1 species